rnacentral:misc_RNA from 1 species
UCCGGCUUGUCACCGGCAGUUCCUUUAGAGUGCCCGCCCAAACGUGCUGGCAACUAAAGGCGAGGGUUGCGCUCGUUGCGGGACUUAACCCAACAUCUCACGACACGAGCUGACGACAGCCGUGCAGCACCUGUGUUCCGAUUCCCUUUCGGGCACACCUGGAUCUCUCCAGGCUCUCGGACAUGUCAAGGGUAGGUAAGGUUUUUCGCGUUGCGUCGAAUUAAACCACAUGCUCCGCUGCUUGUGCGGGUCCCCGUCAAUUCCUUUGAGUUUUAACCUUGCGGCCGUACUCCCCAGGCGGUCGACUUCACGCGUUAGCUUCGUUACUGAGAGUGUCAAACCCCCAACAACCAGUCGACAUCGUUUAGGGCGUGGACUAC